AGAGUUUGAUCCUGGCUCAGGACGAACGCUGGCGGCAUGCUUAACACAUGCAAGUCUAGGGGCACUUCGGUGUCACUGGCGCACGGGUGAGUAACACGUAGGUUAUCUACCCCUAUCACAGACAUAACCCCGGGAAACCGGGGCUAAUAUCUGAUGAGGUCGCGAGAUCAAAGCUUCGGCGGAUAGGGAUGAGCCUGCGGCUGAUUAGCUAGUUGGUGAGGUAAUGGCUCACCAAGGCAACGAUCAGUAGCUGGUCUGAGAGGACGAACAGCCACACCGGAACUGAGACACGGUCCAGACUCCUACGGGAGGCAGCAGUGAGGAAUAUUGGUCAAUGGGCGCAAGCCUGAACCAGCAAUGCCGCGUGUGGGAUGAAGGCGUUUCACGUUGUAAACCACUGUCGGACGGGACGAAAAGCGAUAUGAAUCGCCGAGACGGUACCGUCAAAGGAAGGGUCGGCUAACUACGUGCCAGUAGCCGCGGUAAUACGUAGGACCCAAGCGUUGUCCGGAUUCACUGGGUAUAAAGGGUGCGUAGGCGGUCUUGUGCGUCAGAGGUGAAAUAUCCGGGCUUAACCCGGAGGGUGCCUUUGAUACGGCAGGACUUGAGUGCGAGAGAGGAUGAUGGAAUUCCUGGUGUAGCGGUGAAAUGCGUAGAUAUCAGGAGGAACACCGGUGGCGAAGGCGGUCAUCUGGCUCGUAACUGACGCUGAGGCACGAAAGCGCGG
rnacentral:rRNA from 1 species